rnacentral:misc_RNA from 1 species
GAUGAAGAACGUAGCGAAAUGCGAUACUUGGUGUGAAUUGCAGAAUCCCGUGAACCAUCGAGUCUUUGAACGCAAGUUGCGCCCGAAGCCAUUAGGCCGAGGGCACGCCUGCCUGGGCGUCACACGUCGUUGCCCCCCCAUCUACUCCUUCGGGAUUGCGGGGGGCGGAUGAUGGCCUCUCGUGCGCCUCGUCGCGCGGUUGGCCUAAAUGCCAAGUCCUCGGCGACGCACGCCACGACAAUCGGUGGUUGCGAAACCUCGGUUGCCUGUCGUGUGCGGUCGUCGCGCAUCGAGGGCUCGAAAAAAUUGCCGGGCUUCGGCUCGACUUUCAACGCGACCCCAGGUCAGGCGGGGUUACCCGCUGAAUUUAAGCAUAUCAAUAAGCGGAAGA